AUCAUACUUCCAACGUCCUAAAUUUUUUAUUUUUUAUUUGUCUACAUACGGAUGUAUUAAAUCACGUUUUAGUAUUAGAUACAUUUGUAUCUAGGCAAAUUUAAGACAAGAAUUUUAGGAUGGAGGGAGUAUUAU
rnacentral:pre_miRNA from 1 species